CACACGUUCACAAUGAAUCACACUUUUCGCUUCGUAGUCACUGUCACACUAACACUAUUACCUCGUUUUGAUUAAAUGACGUCACAUAAUUUACCCUAUAAUUAAUCCCUAUACUCAAAUUACUUAAUCUGUCAGUUUCCAACACACUCCCCCAUAUAGCUCCAUGAGGAGAUAUAUGUCCAUUUGAGACUGACUUUGUUGUAAUUACUUGCUAAACAAACAUAUAAAGUUAAUCAAAUAAAUGUUCUCAUGCAUUUCUAUACUAUUUUAACGUUUGCUUUGGUGUCAAAACUCAUUCUCAUCAUCUGCUACUGUGGUCUGUAUUC